rnacentral:lncRNA from 1 species
GCUUUUGGCCUGUGUUUUAUAUAAUGGUAUAUUAAACAUAUUUGUUUCCAUUUCGCUUUUGUAGCUCAGCAGGACCCACUGGAACUGUUCUGACUGAGCUUCAACUCUCUCCUUAAUGACGUUAUCCGAGUCUGUGGUGUGGACUGUGGCAUAUGUAUUCAAUGCCUCUUUUAAUGACAGACGUUUACACUAUUUCCAGUUCUUUUCUCCUAGUGCAGUGUCGCCAUAAACAACAUUGUACACGUAUCUUCACCUCCUGGGAAUUGUACUCCUGUGUGAUAUAUUCCUGGGAGUUGUCAUGGAUAGAAAGGUUACACAGAAGUCAGCAAUGAAGGUUUAACUGAAAGCAAGUUUCGUGGCACUGACUUAUUAAAAGUAAGAAAUGGAUCUUCUCAGUCAAUUGGAAUCAAUUCGAAUCGGUUUUUGAAGAAAUGAAAUUCCUGGGAUAUUAUCAAUGAUACACCCAGAAAGAUGUAUCCAGCGUACAUUGUCUUCAAUUUUUAUAACAUUGCUGUGAUUCCUGUCUUGUCCUAAUGAUUCAAAGAAUGAGUUUGUUCUAGCUUUAUACAAAUGAAUUCUGCGUUCCGCUCAUGAUGAAACAGAGAGCAAAAGUGAUCCGAAUGUAUUACUAAAGUACUUUAUAUCUGCAAAUUACCUUAUACUUGUUAUUCUUGGC